rnacentral:lncRNA from 1 species
CCUACACUGGGCCUGUACAACUUCCGAGGGGUACCGGUUGGGGUCCCAAGUGACACUGCAGGAGGAGCAAGCCAAAGCACAAUGGAAAAUUUGUGAAUUCUAUCCUAGAACUACAUGAAGCAGAAAAAGGCACAAAGUCUAUGAGAACGUGGAAGCAAAAUAUUAGGACCAUCAACCACAAAGGUGAACCUAGUCCAAAACAAGAAAGAUAUGAGCUCCCAGGGGGAGGUGGAGCGGCUCUCGAUGUUACGUGACAUGGAAACGCGCUGGUUUUCAUUGAUGAUGCCAAUGUCAAGCUUCAUAC